GGAAGAGGCGGUGGCGGCGGGUCGGGGUGAGAGGCUGAGGGGAUCUGGCGGUGGAGCGCUAGGAUCAGACGCCCCCGCAAUGACCAGCUCCCCCGUCUCCAGAGUCGUGUACAACGGCAAGAGGACCAGCAGCCCCCGCUCCCCACCCAGCAGCAGCGAGAUCUUCACCCCAGCCCACGAGGAGAACGUCCGCUUCAUUUACGAAGCCUGGCAGGGCGUGGAGCGAGACCUGCGAAGCCAGGUGCCGGGCGGCGAGCGGGGUCUGGUGGAGGAGUAUGUGGAGAAGGUCCCUAACCCCAGCCUGAAGACCUUCAAGCCCAUCGACCUGAGUGACCUGAAGCGCCGGAGCACGCAGGAUGCCAAGAAGUCCUAGAGCGCCCAGCGCCCCUCCCCGGCCUCUGGAAGAUCAGGGUGCGAGGUGUCGGCUCCCUCCUGUCCUGUGGCCCUGCUCCUGGGAUGGGGGUGUCUUGCUCCAGCGGGCUGCAGACCGCAGCACCGGUGUGACUGACGGCUGAGGCCUCUCUCUCCUUCCCAAGUCCCCUCCUUCCUCCUUGGGGGUCUCAGGCUGCCCCCAUCAUGGGGGUCUGGGCCCUCCCCACCCUCCUGCCCUCCCCCAGCCACCUGGCUGUGUUUUUGAAGCUGCCUGGCCCCCAGGGACCCUGGCCUGCCCUCUUUCCUCUCCCCUCACCCUCCUGUCCUUGGCCACUGCAGAAUCAGGAGGGGAGCAGAAGGAGCCUCUGCUGCCCCCCAGGCUGCUGGGACUGGGCUGGUUUUGUCCUUGAAAUGGCCAGGAUACAGGACAAGGGCAGCCCCACCCCAUCCAACUUGGGACCCCCCCACAGACCCUUGCUGCUCCUGUGGCCUGGACACGCUGGGGAGCUUCUCACACCUACCCCUACUGUCCAGCCUGGCCCGUUCCCUGAAUCAGCUUCAAGAUGGCACCAGCUCUUUGGGCCUAGGAUACUGCCGGGCCCCCCAAAGGGGGUCCCCAGCAGCCAGGCCUGGCCUCCUGGUAUCUGUGGUCAUAGUGGCCCAUGGGUAGGGGCACCCAGGCUGACCCUGAGGUGCUGCUGCUGGGUCUGUCUUGGCUCUGGGGUAUGCUGGGAGGGUCACCAGGUCCCUUUUUCUUCCUGUGCCCUCUGAAAGCCAAGUGUCUGUGUGGCUGUGGAGCUCCAGGGUCUGUUAAUAAAGGCAGCGGCACUGGGCGUGGCCUCUUGGCAGUCUGUCAGGCCUCUAGCCCUGCAGCACGCAUGCACAGCCAGCUCCUGGGCAGGGCUGGAACCCA
rnacentral:lncRNA from 1 species